GUUCGUUACGGACGUUUGAAAAAUGUGGCGUUUAGGAGGUCACUUGCCGAGGCUGGGCUAUGCAGCAAGUCCCCCUGACCGGGGCUGUUACCCAGAGCGGGUGCGAGGCCCAUAGUUGCCAAGUCCGCCUCGGAUGUUACCUCUUGGGAGUCAGGUUGCUUGGGAGUGCAACCCCAAUCGGGUGGUAAACUCCAUCUAAGACUAAAUACGGCCGUGAGACCGAUAGCAAACAAGUACCGUGAGGGAAAGUUGCAAAGAACUUUGAAGAGAGAGUUCAAGAGUACGUGAAACUGCUCAGAAGCAAACGGGUGGGCCCUCGAAAUCCUCUGGCGGGGGGAUUCAGUUAGGAGAGGCCGAGGUGAUGUGCGAUUUGAAUGGACCCUGUCCGGGGCCAGGUCGCUGUCACGGUCUUGGCUUUACCUGACGCAUUUCCUCCCGCACUAAGGACGCCGCAUCCGGUUGGGUAGCUGCGUGAGUCUGCCAUAAGGACAAGCGCCGGAAGGUGGCCGGGGGCGUUGCACUUCGUCACCGGUUGUUAGCCUGUUUGUCCGUGGCUCGACACCCGACCGAGGUUGAAUCGUUCCCCUAUGGGAACUAGCUGUGCCCUUCGGAGCGGGAGCUGGCAGGUGCUUCACGGUGUCGCUUCGUCACUCUCGUAGUGUCUGGUGCUCCGUGUUCCCUGGUGGGGUGCAACGGCUAGCGGCGAGUGAGUCGGUCACCCACCCGACCCGUCUUGAAACACGGACCAAGGAGUCUUACAUGUGCGCGAGUCAAUGGGUCUUGUUUAGGCCCAGAGGCACAAUGAAAGUGAAGGUCGGCCUCCAGUCGACUACGUUGGGAUCUCUCGUCCUCUGCGGCGGGAAAGCACCAACAAUCCGUCCUGUCCGAUUUAUCGGUUGGGCGGAACUGGAGCGUACACGUUGGGACCCGAAAGAUGGCGAACUAUGCCUGGGCAGGACGAAGCCAGAGGAAAC
rnacentral:rRNA from 1 species